rnacentral:Y_RNA from 1 species
GGCUGGUCCAACAGUAGUAAGUUAUUUUAAUUGAUUGUUCACAGUCAGUUACAGAUUGAACUCCUUUUUCUACUCUUUCCUCUUCUGACUACUGCACCUGACUAGUGGAAA